ensembl:lncRNA
AACUUCAUAUUAUUUCAUAAUGACCCAGCAGACAUAUUUCAAUUGCACGUGUGUUGUCUUGAUACAGGAUGACGGUGUAUAUGAGAAUAAUCCUCCUAAAACAGAAAGCACACAGAUGAAACCUAUCAACAUGACUAUGACCAGACAAGUGCAGAAGAGCCAAGAAUAUGCUGUCUACGAGAACUCACAUGAACCUUAUGGAAAUCUCUGAUCAUAGUGUUAAGCAAUGAAAUUCAGAGAACCAGUUUAAACCUGAUGGUUAUAAGAUCAAAAUCACAUGUCCAGUAAAGGCAUUCGAGAAGCUCAAAUUAAAAAAAUAUGAAAAAAAAAAAAAAAGUUUGAAUACAUGCAUAGGAGACAGGUAUUUUGUACUUCCUCAUGUGACCACAAGGGGCACUAUGUCUGAUUCUGUUUCUUUCCUUUUACCUUUUUUAUAUAUACAGUUGUUGUUCCAUUUGAAGACAAUUUCUGCUCCUGACUUUAUUUUGUAGAAUCAUAUUUUGCAUAGCUGUUUGUUGUAUCUCACGUUACUACUCAUAUCAAUAUGAAAAUAUUACCAUUAUGGCAAUAAAAUAAAACUUCAUAAUCAUAGUCUCUACCUGUGUUUUUCAAAAUAAUUCCUUUAUUUACAUGCAUUAACCAAGUGGUAUUGUGUUGUGUAUUUCUCAAUGUCAUCUUUAAAGCUGCUGUGUAAUUUUAUGUUGAAAUCAUUUUACCUCUACCAGAAUAAUAUGCAGUAUAUAAUAAUUACGCUUCUAGACAGAUGGCCCAUCUCAAAAUAUACCUUUUUUUUCACCAAACAUUAGUGCUAAGUGCAAAAUUAGCUCGCCACUGGCCAGUGGCCACUGUCUGUCUUGAAGCAAGAACCAUUAAUGUCAAAUACAGGGUGUUGUAAUGUCCUAAAACAAAACGUUUUCAGCUGGUUUCAGUGUGCUGACAUAUCAGCCCAUAGAGACAGAAACAUUACAGCUCAGACCAAUGAAAAACAUCAAGCACACAAAGGAAGUGGUCCUUGAACUCUGCAAACAUCUGUGGUAUUUCAAGUCUAUGAAAACACAAACAUGCCUCUCUAUCUCCAUUAUCUGGAGACUUAAAGGCUUCUCUGUUAAAGCAGCAAAGAGAUCACACACAACAGGAUUACUGCUCAAAAUGAAGUUAUUCUGUGUUGUCUGGCUCUUGAUCUUUCUGUCAGGAAGAUACACACUGAAGGACUCUGGAGAAGGAACCUUCACUGUGAACAUCACUGAUCUACAGGAGUCAGACUCUGGGAUUUACUGGUGCGGAGUGGACAGAUUUGGUUUUGACACCUUUACGAAAGUCAAACUGACAGUAUCUAAAGGUAAGAAUUAGGGAUGCACGAUAAAUAUCAAAGUUUCCCAGUAACCCUAUUAGUAAUUGGACUAUUACCAGUAAUUCACCUUGCAAAUAAUCAACUUAACGCGAGAGGGGGCCCCCUAGGGGGGAUGCAGAUAUAUGGCUCCAUGUUAUAUUAAUAAUGACAUUUCCGAUUGUGCAAAUGGUCAGCUGACGGGGCCCCCUCAAAAUGCGGGGCCAAUUGCCUGCCUUGCCUGCCCUAUUGCUACGCCUCUGA